rnacentral:rRNA from 1 species
UACAGAGGUCCCAAGCGUUGUUCGGAUUCACUGGGCGUAAAGGGUGCGCAGGUGGGUUUGCAAGUUUGAUGUGAAAGCCCCGGGCUUAACCCGGGAAUGGCAUUGAAUACUGCAGAUCUGGAGGAUUGGAGGGGGGACUGGAAUUCUUGGUGUAGCAGUGAAAUGCGUAGAUAUCAGGAGGAACACCGAUGGCGAAGGCAGGUCUCUGGGCUGACACUGACGCUCAUGCACGAAAGCGUGGGGAGCAAACAGG